rnacentral:rRNA from 1 species
CGAGUCUUAACUGGGCGUUAAGUUGCAGGGUAUAGACCCGAAACCCGGUGAUCUAGCCAUGGGCAGGUUGAAGGUUGGGUAACACUAACUGGAGGACCGAACCGACUAAUGUUGAAAAAUUAGCGGAUGACUUGUGGCUGGGGGUGAAAGGCCAAUCAAACCGGGAGAUAGCUGGUUCUCCCCGAAAGCUAUUUAGGUAGCGCCUCGUGAACUCAUCUUCGGGGGUAGAGCACUGUUUCGGCUAGGGGGUCAUCCCGACUUACCAACCCGAUGCAAACUACGAAUACCGAAGAAUGUUAUCACGGGAGACACACGGCGGGUGCUAACGUCCGUCGUGAAGAGGGAAACAACCCAGACCGCCAGCUAAGGUCCCAAAGUCAUGGUUAAGUGGGAAACGAUGUGGGAAGGCCCAGACAGCCAGGAUGUUGGCUUAGAAGCAGCCAUCAUUUAAAGAAAGCGUAAUAGCUCACUGGUCGAGUCGGCCUGCGCGGAAGAUGUAACGGGGCUAAACCAUGCACCGAAGCUGCGGCAGCGACGCUUAUGCG